rnacentral:misc_RNA from 1 species
AGUCGUAACAAGGUAUCCGUAGGUGAACCUGCGGAUGGAUCAUUAACAAAGGUGUUUUUGAAGUUGUGUGAACAGUUGGAGGUGGUGGUGGUGGUGGUGGUAUUGGGUGGUGGUAUUGGGUGGUAUAACCUUGGUCUAACCUUGGUCAACCUCACUCAACCUCACUCUCCCAACCUCCACCACUCCGUCCCUAUAAUGUAUACAAACUGAUGUCUGCUAGUUUCAAACUAAAACAACUUUUAGCAACGGAUCUCUUGGCUCUC